rnacentral:rRNA from 1 species
AGCCCACGGCUCGGCAUCGAGCAGAGGGAAAAGGAGCAAUCCGCUUUGAGAUGGCCUCGCGUCCGAUUAGCUAGUUGGUGAGGUAAUGGCCCACCAAGGCGACGAUCGGUAGCCGGACUGAGAGGUUGAACGGCCACAUUGGGACUGAGACACGGCCCAGACUCCUACGGGAGGCAGCAGUGGGGAAUAUUGCACAAUGGGGGAAACCCCGAUGCAGCGACGCCGCGUGGAGGAAGAAGGUCUUCGGAUUGUAAACUCCUGUUGUUGAGGAAGAUAAUGACGGUACUCAACAAGGAAGUGACGGCUAACUACGUGCCAGCAGCCGCGGUAAAACGUAGGUCACAAGCGUUGUCCGGAAUUACUGGGUGUAAAGGGAGCGCAGGCGGGAAGACAAGUUGGAAGUGAAAUCCAUGGGCUCAACCCAUGAACUGCUUUCAAAACUGUUUUUCUUGAGUAGUGCAGAGGUAGGCGGAAUUCCCGGUGUAGCGGUGGAAUGCGUAGAUAUCGGGAGGAACACCAGUGGCGAAGGCGGCCUACUGGGCACCAACUGACGCUGAGGCUCGAAAGUGUGGGUAGCAAACAGGAUUAGAUACCCUGGUAGUCCACACUGUAAACGAUGAUUACUAGGUGUUGGAGGAUUGACCCCUUCAGCGCCGCAGUUAACACAAUAAGUAAUCCACCUGGGGAGUACGACCGCAAGGUUGAAACUCAAAGGAAUUGACGGGGGCCCGCACAAGCAGUGGAGUAUGUGGUUUAAUUCGACGCAACGCGAAGAACCUUACCAAGUCUUGACAUCCUGCGACGCACAUAGAAAUAUGUGUUUCCUUCGGGACGCAGAGACAGGUGGUGCAUGGUUGUCGUCAGCUCGUGUCGUGAGAUGUUGGGUUAAGUCCCGCAACGAGCGCAACCCUUAUGGUCAGUUACUACGCAAGAGGACUCUGGCCAGACUGCCGUUGACAAAACGGAGGAAGGUGGGGAUGACGUCAAAUCAUCAUGCCCUUUAUGACUUGGGCUACACACGUACUACAAUGGCGUUAAACAAAGAGAAGCAAGACCGCGAGGUGGAGCAAAACUCAGAAACAACGUCCCAGUUCGGACUGCAGGCUGCAACUCGCCUGCACGAAGUCGGAAUUGCUAGUAAUCGCAGAUCAGCAUGCUGCGGUGAAUACGUUCCCGGGCCUUGUACACACCGCCCGUCACACCAUGAGAGCCGGGGGGACCCGAAGUCGGUAGUCUAACCGCAAGGAGGACGCCGCCGAAGGUAAAACUGGUGAUUGGGGUGAAGUCGAAACAAGGUAGCCGUAGGAGAACCUGCGGCUG